rnacentral:rRNA from 1 species
GUGGGGAAUAUUGCACAAUGGGCGCAAGCCUGAUGCAGCAACGCCGCGUGAGGGACGACGGCCUUCGGGUUGUAAACCUCUUUUAGCAGGGAAGAAGCGAAAGUGACGGUACCUGCAGAAAAAGCACCGGCUAACUACGUGCCAGCAGCCGCGGUAAUACGUAGGGUGCAAGCGUUGUCCGGAAUUAUUGGGCGUAAAGAGCUCGUAGGCGGUUUGUCGCGUCUGCUGUGAAAACCCGAGGCUCAACCUCGGGCCUGCAGUGGGUACGGGCAGACUAGAGUGCGGUAGGGGAGAUUGGAAUUCCUGGUGUAGCGGUGGAAUGCGCAGAUAUCAGGAGGAACACCGAUGGCGAAGGCAGAUCUCUGGGCCGUAACUGACGCUGAGGAGCGAAAGCGUGGGGAGCGAACAGGAUUAGAAACCCCGGUAGUCU